GAUGAACGCUGGCGGCGUGCCUAAUACAUGCAAGUCGAGCGAACGGACGAGAAGCUUGCUUCUCUGAUGUUAGCGGCGGACGGGUGAGUAACACGUGGAUAACCUACCUAUAAGACUGGGAUAACUUCGGGAAACCGGAGCUAAUACCGGAUAAUAUCUUGAACCGCAUGGUUCAAAAGUGAAAGACGGUCUUGCUGUCACUUAUAGAUGGAUCCGCGCUGCAUUAGCUAGUUGGUAAGGUAACGGCUUACCAAGGCAACGAUGCAUAGCCGACCUGAGAGGGUGAUAGGCCACACUGGAGCUGGAACGCGGUCCAGGCUCCUACGGGAGGCAGCAGUAGGGAAUCUUCCGCAGUGGGCGAGAGCCUGACGGAGCGGCGCCGCGUGUGUGAUGAAGGUCUUCGGUUCGUAAAACUCUGUUAUUAGGGAAGAACAUAUGUGUACGUAACUGUGCACAUCUUGACGGUACCUAAUCAAGAAGCCCCGGCUAACUACGUG
rnacentral:rRNA from 1 species